GCCCAGUGAACAAUUAAACGGCCGCGGUACCCUAACCGUGCAAAGGUAGCAUAAUCAUUUGUCUAUUAACUGUAGACCUGUAUGAAAGGCAAAAUGAGGGUUUAACUGUCUCUUAUAAUAAAUCUAUUAAACUGAUCUCCCAGUAAAAAAGCUGGGAUACCCCCAUAAGACCAGAAGACCCUGUGAAGCUUUAACUAAACUAUUAAACCAAAUAAUAACUACUUUAGGUUGGGGCGACCUUGGAAAUAAAAAGAACUUCCAACAUAAUAAACAACCACCAAGGCCUACAAGCCAAUUAACGACCCAGUAACACUGAUAAUUGAACUAAGUUACUCCAGGGAUAACAGCGCCAUCUUCUUCAAGAGCCCAUAUCAAAAAGAAGGUUUACGACCUCGAUGUUGGAUCAGGACACCCCAAUGGUGCAACCGCUAUUAAAGGUUCGUUUGUUCAACGAUUAAUGUCCUACGUGAU
rnacentral:rRNA from 1 species